GGUCAUAUAGCUCAGUUGGAUAGAGCACAAGCCUUCUAAGCUUGGGGUCGUAGGUUCGAAUCCUACUAUGAUCG